rnacentral:rRNA from 1 species
AUAGGAAGUUACCGCCUGCCCUGUGACUUCAGAGUUUAACGGCCGCGGUAUCUUGACCGUGCGAAGGUAGCGCAAUCACUUGUCCCUUAAAUGGGGACCCGUAUGAAUGGCAUAACGAGGGCUCAACUGUCUCCCUCCCCCAGUCAAUGAAAUUGAUUUCCCCGUGCAGAAGCGGGGAUUUUACCAUAAGACGAGAAGACCCUAUGGAGCUUUAGACAUCAAGCAGCCUACGACAAGCAGCCGUGUAAAACAGCUACAAACAACGUUAACCCUCCUGAACUGUCUUUGGUUGGGGCGACCGUGGGAUAAAAUUAACCUCCCAUGAGGACCGGAAUUAACCUUCCAGAACUAAGGGCCACUGCCCUAAGCAACAGAAACUCUGACCUAAAUGAUCCGGCCCACCGCCGAUCAACGGACCGAGUUACCCUAGGGAUAACAGCGCAAUCCCCUCCUAGAGCCCCCAUCGACGAGAGGGUUUACGACCUCGAUGUUGGAUCAGGACAU